GACGAACGCUGGCGGCGUGCUUAACACAUGCAAGUCGAACGGAAAGGCCCUGAGAUUGUGGGGUUCUCGAGUGGCGAACGGGUGAGUAACACGUGUGUAACCUGCCCUUGUCUUUGGGAUAACUUCACGAAACUGGGGCUAAUACCGGAUAGGAGCUCCUGCACCAUGGUGGGGGGUGGAAAGUUUCGGCGGUAGGGGAUGGACGCGCGGCUUACCAGCUUGUUGGUGGGGUAGUGGAUUACCAAGGGUGGGACGGGUAGCCGGCCUGAGAGGGUGGACGGGGACAAUACUACUGCGGGAGGGACCAGUCUGGUACGGGAGGCAACAGUGGGGAGUAUGGCCCAACGAGCGCGAGCCUGUUGCGACAGCGCUGGGUUCGUAAUGACGGCCUUCUGGGUGUGAACCGCUUUAGCCUGUGACGAAGCGUUAGUGACGGUAAUGAAUAAAGAAGCACCGGCUAACUACGUG
rnacentral:rRNA from 1 species